rnacentral:rRNA from 1 species
UGCCCCAGUAACGGCGAGUGAAGCGGCAACAGCUCAAAUUUGAAAUCUGGCUCUCGGGCCCGAGUUGUAAUUUGUAGAGGAUGCUUUUGGUGAGGUGCCUUCCGAGUUCCCUGGAACGGGACGCCAUAGAGGGUGAGAGCCCCGUCUGGUUGGACACCGAUCCUCUGUAAAGCUCCUUCGACGAGUCGAGUAGUUUGGGAAUGCUGCUCUAAAUGGGAGGUAUAUGUCUUCUAAAGCUAAAUACCGGCCAGAGACCGAUAGCGCACAAGUAGAGUGAUCGAAAGAUGAAAAGAACUUUGAAAAGAGAGUUAAAAAGUACGUGAAAUUGUUGAAAGGGAAGCGCUUGUGACCAGACUUGGGCUUGGUUGAUCAUCCGGGGUUCUCCCCGGUGCACUCUUCCGGCUCAGGCCAGCAUCAGUUCGCCCUGGGGGAUAAAGGCUUCGGGAAUGUGGCUCUCUCCGGGGAGUGUUAUAGCCCGCUGCGUAAUACCCUGUGGCGGACUGAGGUUCGCGCAUUCGCAAGGAUGCUGGCGUAAUGGUCAUCAGUGACCCGUCUUGAAACACGGACCAAGGAGUCGUCUUCGUAUGCGAGUGUUCGGGUGUCAAACCCCUACGCGAAAUGAAAGUGAACGCAGGUGAGAGCUUCGGCGCAUCAUCGACCGAUCCUGAUGUUAUCGGAUGGAUUUGAGUAAGAGCAUACGGGGCCGGACCCGAAAGAAGGUGAACUAUGCCUGUGUAGGGUGAAGCCAGAGGAAACUCUGGUGGAGGCUCGCAGCGGUUCUGACGUGCAAAUCGAUCGUCAA